UAACAAAAUGUGUUAGAGAACAACAAAAAUCUCCUAUGCUCCAAACAAGUUGUCACUCCUGGACACCAACCCCUACCCAGAUCCAAUACUGACGCAGCAUGAGGGGAGUUAACAGGCUUUAAACAACCUGCCUUGUCUGGCCUGGUUUCUCUGGCUCCAGCCCUGGCCACCAAUCAUGAGCUCCAACUAAACGUCUGAAUUCUACUGCAGACGAGUCAUUAUAAACAACCAGCUGCACCAUCACAACAACCAACACAUUGGAAACUAACUCACCCUGAAAAUCUCAUCAAAUCAGAUUUUAUUUGUCACAUGCGCUGAUUACAACAGUGAAAUGCAUACUUACAAGCCAUUAACCAACAAUGCAGUUAAGAAAAUUAAAACAUUUAAAAAUAAAAAGUAAGAUAAGAAUAACAAAUAAAGGAACAGCAGUAAAUAACAAGAGGGGCUAUAUACAGGGGGUACCAGUACAGAGUCAAUGUGGAGGUUAUAUACAGGGGGUACCAGUACAGAGUCAAUGUGGAGGCUAUAUACAGGGGGUACCAGUACAGAGUCAAUGUGGAGGCUAUAUACAGGGGGUACCAGUACAGAGUCAAUGUGGAGGCUAUAUACAGGGGGUACCAGUACAGAGUCAAUGUGGAGGCUAUAUACAGGGGGUACCAGUACAGAGUCAAUGUGAAGGCUAUAUACAGGGGGUACCAGUACAGAGUCAAUGUGGAGGCUAUAUACAGGGGGUACCAGUACAGAGUCAAUGUGGAGGUUAUAUACAGGGGGUACCAGUACAGAGUCAAUGUGGAGGCUAUAUACAGGGGGUACCAGUACAGAGUCAAUGUGGAGGCUAUAUACAGGGGGUACCAGUACAGAGUCAAUGUGGAGGCUAUAUACAGGGGGUACCAGUACAGAGUCAAUGUGAAGGCUAUAUACAGGGGGUACCAGUACAGAGUCAAUGUGGAGGCUAUAUACAGGGGGUACCAGUACAGAGUCAAUGUGGAGGUUAUAUACAGGGGGUACCAGUACAGAGUCAAUGUGGAGGCUAUAUACAGGGGGUACCAGUACAGAGUCAAUGUGGAGGCUAUAUACAGGGGGUACCAGUACAGAGUCAAUGUGGAGGCUAUAUACAGGGGGUACCAGUACAGAGUCAAUGUGGAGGCUAUAUACAGGGGGUACCAGUACAGAGUCAAU